rnacentral:rRNA from 1 species
GAGGCCCUACGGGAAGCAGCAGUCGGGAAUUUUCCGCAAUGGGCGAAAGCCUGACGGAGCAAUACCGCGUGAGGGAUGACGGCCUAUGGGUUGUAAACCUCUUUUUUCAGGGAGGAAUCAAUGACGUGUACCUGAAGAAUAAGCAUCGGCUAACUCCGUGCCAGCAGCCGCGGUAAGACGGAGGAUGCAAGUGUUAUCCGGAAUCACUGGGCGUAAAGCGUCUGUAGGUGGUUUGAUAAGUCAACUGUUAAAUCUUGAGGCUUAACCUCAAAAUCGCAGUCGAAACUAUURGACUAKAGUAUAGUAGGGGUAAAGGGAAUUUCCAGUGGAGCGGUGAAAUGCGUAKAUMUUGGAAGGAACACCGAUGGCGAAGGCACUUUACUGGGCUAUUACUAACACUCAGAGACGAAAGCUAGGGUAGCAMAUGGGAUUAGAUACCCCAGUAGUCCUAGCUGUAARCAAUGGAUACUAGAUGUUGAACAGAUCGACCUGUGCAGUAUCAAAGCUAACGCGUUAAGUAUCCCGCCUGGGAAGUAUGCUCGCAAGAGUGAAACUCAAAGAAAUUGACGG